rnacentral:lncRNA from 7 species
CUCAUCCAACCUCAAACAUUCUGUGAUUAUAUGACAGAUUAUAUGACAUAUAAUAUAUGUUGCAUUUGUUGGAUUUGCAGAGAAAUAUUUAAUUAAUCUGAGUUUCAGAAAUGGCUUUGAAUUGAUCAUAAGAACAUUGGAUUUGAGAUUAGAAACAAAAUGAGGACACCCAAUGCUUUGAAAGUUCUGCUAAUGAGGGAUGUGUGGCAUAGACGAUCUCAAAUUAUUAAUGAUAGCUCAGAUAUUUGCAGUCAUCCAGUUUGGAGAGUUCACUGAAUUGAAGAGAGGAAACUUCUGUCUCCAGUGAUAUCACCUCUUGCCUUAUCAAGUUUAUAUUUUCUUCAUAAAUUCUCAGUUCAUCAAGUAAAACAAAAGUCCUCAGGUGAUCCAUGAAUAACAACCAGCCCUCCCGGACUACCCUUCUCUCCAGCAGUCACCCAUGAGAUGUUACCAAGCAGAACUCUGAAGUGUCAAAUAUGAUUUUCCCUGCCUGGAGAGGCAUGUAUUCUGUAGCUACUCCUGACAUACCUGUAAACUGCUCUUCCCUAUGAGGUACCGUGAUAAUACUAUUCUUGUUGACUUUUAAAUGCCAUAAGUGCCAGUAUUUAGUUUCUAUUGUUUCCUGCAUAAUUUAUUAUAUAGUAUAGCUCACUACUAACAAUUUCUUUAGAUACUAUAUUUUUAUUUUCUUCAACUGAUUCCACAGUGAUUCAUUAUAUCUUCUUUGGUCGUUCAGAAUUUUUCCUCUCCAUCUCUUAUAUUUAUUCUUAUGCUAAUUGGUGCCUCUUUACACUGCUCAGACAAGGGAAACAUAGAUAAUAUUUUAAAAC